GCCUGGGUGGCUCAGUCGGUUAAGCGUCUGACUUCGGCUCAGGUCAUGAUCUCACGGUUUGUGGGUUCAAGCCCCGCAUAGGGCU
rfam:Felis catus isolate Cinnamon breed Abyssinian chromosome B3, whole genome shotgun sequence.